UGAAUCUGGGAAGAUUUAAAGGAUGUAGACAGUAUCUUGUGUAUGACAAGCCAUCAGUGUUGUGCCCCAUGUCCUCUUCCUGGCACGCCUCUUAGACCUGAACUGUCCCUGGGAUCCUGGGAAAUGGCCAGCAUGUUGCUCUCAGUGUGACUUCAGAGGAUUUUCAGGCCGCCUUAUCUUCGGUAAAUGUGCUAAGGAGGAAGGAGCCACCCUGUUGCUGUUCAAAUAACUCCUGAAGCUUUGCAAAAAGGACAAAGUCAUUGCCCAGGUCCAGCAAACCUUUUGCAGACGUCUCAGUCCCACCUCAGUACAUUGCCUGCAAAAACACAAAUAUAUUUGAAAAUGCCUGAGGUGAACUUUCGUUUGAAGUGUGGUCCCUCCGUGCUCUGUUGGCAACAUAAAAGGGUGGGCACUUGGAAUCUGUCCCUUGGGAAGACCCUUUCCAGGAGGACACCACAAAUUUUAUUUCUAAUGUUUCUUAGAAAAGAUAAUAGCUCUCUGCAGUGUAUCUGUCAGCCUGGGCUCUAAUAGGGGCCUCAGUGGAGGUGUUAGGAACUCUACAUGCUCUGACAGCCUUCUGCUUGGAACACCCGGAUCCAGCACAGACCGCAGCACCGUCUGUUUACAGCAGAUAGGAGCCAAGCUGUUCCUGCACGUGAGGAAUGCAGUGACUUAAAAAUUCUUCCCUACACAAGCUUAAGAACAAAAGCACAAAGCAGUACAGCCAGUCCAUGGGCUAGCUGAGUAAAAGCCAAACAAGUGUCUUGCUGGCUCCAUCUGCUGGACCCUGAUGAUGUGAACGAUACAGUGAAGCUUGGCUGGACUCACACGGAACAAACACGUCUGAAACUGAAGCACUCCAUGCGUGUCAUGGAAACCGUGAGAAAAGAGAUGGGAACAUCCGUCCCCAGAAUGCAUAAGUGUGAAGACUAAUGAUUUGGAGUUGCAUUCAUUAUGGCUUUUCUAGUUGUUUUGGGACACCAAGAACAACCCAAACCAAUCAAAUUUACAAGAGAACACAUCCGUAUAAUGUUGGCUUUUACUUUGUCAUGUGCUGGUGUAUAGGAAAUGAGACCUUGAAGAUAGUUUAUCUCAGUCUGAUUAAUACAAAAUUAAUGAAUUAUGCAUAAAACUCUAAAUGGUUUCCCAGAUACAGAAACAAAAGGGUUGCUUCUGAAGUAGCAGACCAUGGAGGAUAAUUUCAGACUUUUAGAACAUGUGUUAUUCAUGCAUUCCAGGCAACAACUCAAUGGCUGAUGACCGAGCCACACCUGCUGGACUUUGAGGGCUUUCAACUGUCUUAUUACACUUAUUAAAGUUCCACUGUCCCCUAAAUUCAUCUCCUUUUCACAGA